CCUCCACUGAAAAUCUGCAACCAAGACCAUCAACCAACACUAGUACCACCUUCGACAUCAUCGUCGAUGAAUACAAUGCUUUUCGAUUUGAACACAUACAACAUGUUAAACCCCCAUUUCAAAAUGGUUCAAAUACAUACAACACACCCAAACUAAACUGGUUUGAUUUUCUUGGAUUUUCUAAAAAAAUUUAUUGAAACUGAGGUCUGUCUUCAACAGCUCUAUCAACCCCUUUAAACCAUUUUCACUCAAAUCAAGAGACAAGAACCUUCAGUUUGAUCAAAUUCUUGAAAAUAUUUGCAGAAACUUCACCUUCAAAAGUUGUUCAAGGGUCACCGCUCCGACCACCACUCCACCUUCUCCAACAAAUUAAUCCUAGAAGCAUUCACCCUUAAAAAUUCGUCGUGCAAGUUGUGGAUUUUUGGUAAGGAAAAAAAAUUGGGAAUUAGGAAAUGGGAUUUCGAAUUUGGGAUUAAACAUACGAAAUUGGGGGUGUUGAAGGAAUGGAUUCGCGAAAUUUCGGCACGAUGGAGAUUGUCGAUUUGAUGUAGUGGCGGCAACUGCGAUACCGAUGAAUUGUGAGUCAUAGCAGGUGGCCCUGCCGGCGGUGGGAGGUGGUUUUUUCAGGUUUAAUUUUGAUUGUGGGUUGGGAUUAGGGUUGGUGGUGUUGGGAAAGUUUCG
rnacentral:lncRNA from 1 species